UAACGCAGCGAUUACAAAAAGAA
rnacentral:snRNA from 1 species